CCCAUAGAAGACGACGAGCUCAUCUCCUUCAUCCUGGCCGGCCUCUACCUUGACUACAACCCUCUGGUAUCCGCCCUUGAUGCUUGCACUGAGCCUGUUACUCUCGAUGUCCUGUACUCGCAGAUGGCCAACUUCGAUC
rnacentral:snoRNA from 1 species